UGGUCAAUGAUGAGAACUUUGUUGUCUAGAAGAGAGGUGAUGAUUUAAAAAUCAUGCUCAAUAGGAUUACACUGAGGCCC
rnacentral:snoRNA from 1 species